CCCCAGAGGGCGUGUUACAGUGCUCUUUUAGCUCUGCCAUUUGUGGAUGGUUUAGGUGUUAACAGCUCAGUGGGCCCUUUGCCUCGUCGCAUGGGGUGGCUGCCCUCCGCCAGCAAGGGCAAAGGGCCAAUGUGACAGCCUUUUGUUAUCUGCACUUGUAGUUCCAAAGCUCUUGUCUGCUGUCCAGGAAAAAUGAGGUCGCACGAACCAAUUGAAGGAUGCUGUUAUUUUUUAUCCUGUUGUGAUAACAGAAGGCACUUUGGUCAUAGCAGGAAUAAAGCUUCAGGAGACAUAUCUACUGAAAAAAAAAUAAAGAAAGACGGAAAGAAUGAAAGAAAAAAGAUCUGGGCUAACAACCAGUGUUCAUGAGUGGUGUUGUAUCACGUUGUCUCCUUUCCUCUUCUGAAAGUUUUCUGAAGAUGGAAUAUGGCUAUAUCAAUAGCCCAUUUCAGUAUUUUAUCUCUAGGACCAAUAAGACAGUCCUCAUGGUAAGUGAAGCCAGCUGGACUUCCUGUGUUAACUGGGGACUUGGAGAACUUUUCUGUCUUACAAGGGGAUUGUAAAAUGCACCAAUCAGUGCUCUGUAGCUAGCAAGAGGUUUGUAAAAUGCACCAAUCAGCGCUUUGUAAAAUCGCACCCAUCAGUGCUCUGUAGCUAGCCAGGGUUUGUAAACGGGACCAAUUAGCGCUCUGUAAAAUAGACCAAUCAGCGCUCUGCAAAAUGGACCAAUCAGCACUCUGUAAAAUGGACCAAUCAGUAGGAUUCUAAAAGUAACCAACUGUGGGGAGGAUUGAGAAAGGGGCAUUCUGAUAGAACAGAAACGGAAUAUAGGAAGGGACAAAUAAGGCAAUAAAAGCUGGCCACCCCAGCCAGCAGUGGCAACCCACUCGGGUCCCCUUUCACGCUGUGUUCUUUCACUGUUCACAAUAAAUCUUGCUGCUGCUCACUCUUUAGGUCUGUGCCAUCUUUAAGAGCUGUAACACCCACUGCAAAGGUCCGUGGCUUCAUUCUUGAAGUCUGUGAGACCAUGAACCCACGGGAAGGAACCAACUCAGGACACACUCAUAAUGCCCAGUCAAAAUCAUCCCUGCUACCGUUAAGCCAAGUUGCUCUCCUUUUGUCAUCCCCAGCAAUAAAUAAAUGCAUCUUGCCUGCACUUAGAGAUGUUUAUUUUCUACACUUCAACUUAAAAUGAAAGUGAAAAAUAGAAACUUGCUAAUACACCAUGCAGCUUCCAACACUCAGUUUAAUUCUUAUGAAAAUACAAGUAAAAAUAAACACUCCUGGUACCACUGAAAAAUAAAACUGCCACAUAACUGAAUGUCAGAAUCUUUGCUAUGUUGCCCUUAAUUUAACGUUAAAUACCCAUUAGGGUGCUGACAGGCUUGCUUCAUAUCAAGGUUUCAUCUCAUUAUACAAUUACCGUUUUUAUAAAGGAGGGAUGAUAAUAAGAUACUUUUUGCUUUCACUGCUGUCUAUACCUGACCCAAGUCUGAAAGUGCUGGAUUUGUCAGGUAGAGAACACACUUUCAGGUCUAGGGAGCUACUGAAUCUGUAGGAGGCUGUUUGGAUCCAAUCCUUCCUGUUGGAAGAAGAGUUCCCACAGAAACCAGAGAAGCUCCUGAGACUUUUUAGAAAAUGCCAUUCAAUGCCUAUACUCUGAAACGUCUAUUCGUGUCUCCUGCUCAUUUUUAAGUUGGAAUUUCUUAACUGAUUCACAGAAGUCCUUAAAUAUUUGGAUGCUAAUCUAUUAUAGAAUAUAUUUGUUCUAACUAUCUUCUAGUCUAUGGCUUAUCUUUUCAAAAUUUUAAUUGUGCUUUUUGAUGAAGAGAAUUUUGAAAUGUUGAAAAUUAAGACUCCAUCAUCAGAGUUGGCUCAAAAGUUUAAAUGUAAAGAUGCCAUUUAACUCAACAAUUUCACCCUGAGGUACCCAAGAUAAAUAAAUAUAGAUUCACAUGAAUACUUGCACAUAAAGUGCUCGUAGCCAAAUUAUUUAUAAUAGCCAAAAGUGGAAACAACUCAAAUGUCCAAAAACUGAUGAAUGGAUAAAUAAAAUGCAAUAUUUCCAUGCAAUGAAAUAUUAUGCAGCAAUAAAAAUAAACAGAUUAUUGGUACAUG
ensembl:lncRNA novel transcript